CUGGAGCAUGCUCUUCACGUGCUGGAAAGUCAAAAUGAGUCAAAAGAUUGUUUUCCCUCCAUUGAUCUCUGGUUCCAUCCGCCGCGCUGGAGGUCGCCUUCGGCAGCGACGGAGUUAUAAGGCCUAAAGCAACUACAUCGUCUUCUAUAUCUCUUCACCCUGAAUCUAACCAACACAAUAACGAAGCCUGAUUCCUCCUCCAUCCUCUAAAUCGAAGCCAAAAAUUCAAGAACCCUAAACUUCCUAGCUAAAAUAAAAUCCUACACUCUUGGAAUCAAAGCCUCAGAGGUUAGGGAUUUGAUUCCCUUAACCGAAACUCACACCCUGACAUCAAGAAGUGAGUGAAACAAGGAAGAAGCACUAACCUGUGAAAUUCUCCAGCAACGGUGGUGACGGCGACGAUGAGCUUCCAGGUUGCAUCAUGUUAAUGGUGAUGAUGAUGGUCAAGGCUUGAUGGAUGUUGCUACAGGUCAUGAUGUAUGAAUGUAGGGCAUGACUGUAGGUUCAAGGCGGAUGUGUAUUGAUGCAGCGAGUCAUGGUGAGGUUACAGCAGGUCGAUGGUCAUGGUUGGUGAGAUCAUGUUUUGGGAGCUGAUAUGUCAUGCUUGGCCUUGGUGUAGUUGUGACUAAUUCCAGGAUUGGAUGUAGGGUAGUGAUGACAUUCAUGCCAGUUGCUUUUCAUGCUUAUGAUUGCAUUCUCCUUGGCCUGCUAUGCAAUGUAAACAAGUCUGCAAUAUUGGUUUAACUUUCUAUUUCUUUGGUUUUGGCACAUCCUGUUUGGCAUGAGAGAUGAGACUUAAUGCUGGAUGCUGGAUCUUGUUGAUGUUUAUUGUUUUGCAGGUGAUUGCUGAUGAUGAUGAUGAUGUGGCAUGCCAAUGUACUCCAUGAUGGUUUAUGUUUUUAUCAAUGCUAUCCUUGUAUGACCAAUUGGGAUAAUUUUGGCCUUGUUCUGUUAUCCACUAUGUUGUUGUUUGCAGGUCCAAUAUUUGCUUUGCGACUUGGUGUCAUGGUGUAACAUUCCUUGUGGACAACCCCUUCCAUUUGAACUUAAUCCAUUGAAAUACCUUGAUAUUGGUAAGGAUUUUGUUAGGUUAAAAUGUUUCAUUAUAUAAGUGAUCUUGGUUGUCUAUUCUACAGCUGGUUCUUUUUUGCAUAUGGUUUUGAUUUGUGUCACACUUUGGCUAGGUCUGAGCAAGCUUCUGACUUGACUCAAUGUUUUGAUGGUUCAAAUUUGUAGGUACUAUUUUGUCUUGUGCAACAGGGUGGUCAUUGCAAUUCUGACUUUGGUUCAAUGUUGGCUUAGGCAAUGCUUGUUUGGUUGCUUAUUUCCUAUUGUGUAAAGACUCAUGUCCCUUUGAUUGUUUUGCCAUGAACAUGAGUGAACCAUGCUAAAACCUUUUGCCCAGUUAGAACUAUUCUAUUAAUUUCCAUUAGAUCAAUGUUAGUGAUUAACAUGAUUAAUGAGAUGCAUGUGUAUUCAUUGGCUUGUCUCCUGAUCUUUGUAAUCCUGACUUUGCAUAAUAUGCUAAGUGUUCUGACUUGGUCUUUUCCAUGCCCAGGUAUUGUUCUUGGCCUUGCCUUGCACCAGGUAUGCAACCAGUCCUGGCACAUUAUGCCUCAAAGUGCAGCACUGUGUACUGUCAAGGCUUACACCAGGUGACCAUAGUUCAACAUUAUUUUGGCUUGGUUUGUCAUGAGUCCUGUUCAUAUUUUGCAGCAUGGCAUCAUGGUUCUGUAGCAUGUAGCAGCAGGUCUUGUUGGCUCAUGGUGCUACAGCAGGAUGACACAUGAGUGUUGCUUGUUCUUGGCAGAUUUGCAUUGUUCAUUUUGCUAUAGGUCAUGUGUACAUGGAGUGUGGUUAGAUAAGGCAACAAGACAUCAAACUUGGCAUUUGGAUUAUCAUGUGCCAAAGACAAAUUCCAUGACCAAAGAUUCAAAUAUUCAAGAUUAGGAAUGUAGUUAGGAUAUGGAUUUAGAUUUUUAGGCCUUUUGGAAGAAAAAGGUAGAGUUGACUUUGGCCAAAGUUGACCAAAAAGUCAAUUGUUUACCAAAGUCAACCCUUGGUCAAAGUUGUAAAAAAAUGUAUUUUUCAUGUAAUGACCAAUGUGAUGGAUUAUAAUGGACUGAAAGAAAUUAGUUUUAAAUGGAUUGAAAAUGGUUUGAAAA